GAUGAAGAACGCAGCGAAAUGCGAUAAGUAAUGUGAAUUGCAGAAUUCAGUGAAUCAUCGAAUCUUUGAACGCACAUUGCGCCCCCUGGUAUUCCGGGGGGCAUGCCUGUCCGAGCGUCAUUACAACCCUCAAGCUCAGCUUGGUGUUGGGCCCCGCCGCCCCGGCGGGCCCUAAAGUCAGUGGCGGUGCCGUCCGGCUCCGAGCGUAGUAAUUCUUCUCGCUCUGGAGGUCCGGUCGUGCGCUCGCCAGCAACCCCCAAUUUUUUUCAGGUUGACCUCGGAUCAGGUAGGGAUACCCGCUGAACUUAAGCAUAUCAAUAAGCGGAGGA
rnacentral:misc_RNA from 1 species